GACGAACGCUGGCGGCGUGCCUAAUACAUGCAAGUAGAACGCUGAAGAGAGGAGCUUGCUCUUCUUGGAUGAGUUGCGAACGGGUGAGUAACGCGUAGGUAACCUGCCUUGUAGCGGGGGAUAACUAUUGGAAACGAUAGCUAAUACCGCAUAACAAUGGAUGACACAUGUCAUUUAUUUGAAAGGGGCAAUUGCUCCACUACAAGAUGGACCUGCGUUGUAUUAGCUAGUUGGUGAGGUACUGGCUCACCUAGGCGACGAUACAUAGCCGACCUGAGAGGGUGAUCGGCCACACUGGGACUGAGACACGGCCCAGACGCCUACGGGAGGCAGCAGUAGGGAAUCGGCGGCAAGGGGGGCAACCCUGACCGAGCAACGCCGCGUGAGUGAAGAAGGUUUUCGGAUCGUAAAGCUCUGUUGUAAGUCAAGAACGGGUGUGAGAGUGGAAAGUUCACACUGUGACGGUAGCUUACCAGAAAGGGACGGCUAACUACGUG
rnacentral:rRNA from 1 species